UACGGGGGGAGCAAGCGUUGUUCGGAUUUACUGGGCGUAAAGGGUGCGUAGGCGGUCUGUUAAGUUGGAUGUGAAAACUCUGGGCUCAACCCAGAGCCUGCAUCCAAAACUGGCAGGCUAGAGUUCUGGAGGGGGUAGCGGAAUUCCUGGUGUAGCGGUGAAAUUCGUAGAUAUCGGGAGGAACACCAGUGGCGAAGGCGGCGAUCUGGGAAGAUACUGACGCUGAGGUGCGAAAGCGUGGGGAGCAAACAGG
rnacentral:rRNA from 1 species